CAAACCACAGUUUGCCUCGCUCCCUGUGAGCAAUGCUGUUGAUAUAACGACCCAGCUCAGACAGGGAAGGAUUUCUAGUGGCUGCCACUGAUUUCCUACAGGAGGGCACUGUGGAAGGAAGGAGAGGUGGUACGCAUGGGGAAAGAUCAAAGUGCUUUCAGAGAUCUGCAGUAGUAUCGCAUUCUUCUUUCGAUUACGUGAGUGCAGCUGAAGACCUGGAGCAGCAGUGAUGAGGUGCAUGCACUGCAGCUACUCCCUUCCCUAUUCUCAUAGGAAGCUCAUGCGUUGAGAAGUUCCCAGAGCUUUCUGUGCUGGUGAAAGAGGCAGCUGUGCUAAUUCUGAUACCGAGUAUUCUCUUACAAACUGAGAUGCUGCAAAACUCCUCAGAAGAGCAGAAAAGGAAGACUUACACCUCUGUCUGACACAGUUAAAAUCUCUCCCUGUGCACUUAUCAGCUUGCAUAUCUCUGUGAAACUCUGUGCUUCAGCGAGGGCUACAUCACUAGGCAACUACUGCAAAGAAACAUGAGUUCUACAGGAUUUCAGGGAAGAAUUCUUCCUCUACUUUUGUUCACUUCUGAGUUUGUUUCUUGGCACCCUCUUCCUUAAUGUGAGGUCAGCCAGAGUACUUUCACAGUUUUUCCUGUCUGUUUUGUCGUUUGUUUCUGUUUCGCAGGCUUACAGCUCCGAAGUCUUUCCAAGAGAGAAGAGAAACCAAACUGGAAGAUGAGAGCAUUGCACAGGCACCAAAUGCUGUUUCUGUUCAACCUUUGUUUCAUCGAGAAAAGUGGGUGUCUAAAAUCAAAGCACGCAUUACUUCCCAUCACUUACUUGUAAUCUGAGACUAGUGUUUUAGUGGAGUCUGCUGCCAGACUACAGAGAAAAGGAAACUUAGUGGAUCACCAGGUUUUUCAGCCUCUGAGAAAGAUAACCAACCAAGCACCAAGAGACAGGAUAGAAGCAUGAAGGUGGUAAUUAACCACAUAGCUGAUUUUGGACUGUUACCAUGCUACCAGAAAAACAUGCUGGGAGAAGCCAUCAUCCACCGUGAAUGAGUUUUCUUGUAUAUGGAAUCCACUUGUUUAAUAGGGCUCUUUUUGAGACUCAAUGAGACUCACUUUAAACAAUAACAGAAUCACAAAAUCACAGAGUUGUAGGAGUUGGAAAGGACCUCUAGAAAUCAUCGAGUCCAACCUCUUCUGCUAAAGGAGUUCCCUGCAGCAGGUCACACAGGAAAGUGUCCAGGUCGGUUUUGAAUAUCUCCAGAGAAGGAGACUCCACAACAUCUCUGGGCAGCCUGCUCCAAUGCUCUGCCACCCUCACAAUAAAGAAGUUCUUCCUCAUGUACGUAUGGAACUUCCUGUGUUCCAGUUUGUGCCUAUUUCUGUUGUCCUGUCACUGGGCUCUGCUGAAGGAGACUGGCCACAUCCACUUGACUCCUGCCCUUUAGAUAUUUAUCAACAGUGAUGAGAUCCCUCUCAGUCUUCUCCAGACGGAAUAGUCUCUCAGCCUUUCUUCAUAAGGGAGAUGCUCCAGGCCCCUAAUACUCUUUCUGGCCUUCCACUGGACUCUCUCAAGAAGAUCCCUGUCUUUCUUGAGUGAGGAGCCCAGAACUGGAUGCAGUACUCCAGAUGUGGCCUCACUGGGGCAAAGUAGCUGGGGAGGACCUCCUCCCUCAACCUGUUGUCCACACUUUUCAAUGAACCCCAACUUUUAGAGUCCAACUGGUCCCAGUAUUGUUCUGCCAAUGAGGAAAAGCUCCAGAGUGAAAAUGUUGGACUCUGAUUAUGCUUUGCUGUCAUUCAGCAGCACUCAUCCUUCCACCUCUGUCUUGAACAACUGUGUGACUGGUCUUUCCUCGCAGUAAUGAAUUAAACAGUGUAUAACCAAGUAGUUAUCAAUACAGAUUUUGUUCUCAGAGUUUCUUUGAACUUUAGUUUCAACUAGACAAUCCCUGGCACCAAAUCCAAGAAAAGAAAAACAUGAGGAAAAUAGUGAUGUAUGGGGAUUGGUUAUAUAUUCAUAAAGCCACUAAUCACAGUUUCUUUUCUCUCUCAUUUUUGCUAGGCUUUCUUUGUCUAUUUUCAGGUCUUAUCUCUAUAUGAACACUGAUAGCAGAUAAAUCAAGACAACAGCUUCCUUCAUUUUUAGGAGUUUUGUUAAAAUUGACUUUCUCCCUCUGACAUGAAUAUCAGUUUAUAUCUCAAUCAAAUCUGGAAUUGUAGUUUAGAGAGAAAAUACAUAAAAUAUGCGUAGAAGAUUUUCCUAUGUCAUCCCUCUCACAGACACUUUCUGUUACUUUUAGAUUUAUUUCAGAUUAUUGUUUACUUCGCAAUCAUUAAUAAUUUACAGAAGUAAAGGCUUUUGUUUGUUAGUGAUUUGUCAUAACUGGAAUAAUGAAAAUAAUUAUAUAUAUCUCCAGUUCUUCAGUUUUGUAAAGUUCUGCUAAACUCAAGUGUUCAAGCUGUAAUAUAUCUCUUCUACUUUGGGUCUUACCAUUGAAUGACCUGACCUUUUAAUAAAGAUUUUUGUUUCCUAUGGUGCUUGAUUUCUUUGGCUAAGUAAUAAAAAGUAUGUGACACUUAAGAGCUUCCUACUUCCCUACUCUCUCUUAUAGUAGAGUGCUUAUGUAAUGAAGAGUGAUUGCUUGCAAGUCCAGAGAAAGAAAUCCUAAGCAUAUCUGUAUCUUCCAGUUGAUGGGUAUUAAAAAAAAAAAAAAAAAAAAUAACCAAACUGCCUGUCAGCCUUGGGAAGAUAAAGAGGACAGAGCAGUGUGAAUGAAUUCAUCAGCAACAAAUGACAGCAAACUUGUCUGAUUUCCCUCUGUGACCAAGUAACAGACAUUAUGAAGAGUCAAGCAGCCGUAUCUAUCUGUCUGUCUGUGGUAUAUCUUGACUUCUGUGGUAUUUUUGAGGCUGCCUUUGACAAUUGUUACCUAGAUGUAUUUUGAUAACAUGCUAUAGUUGAAUGCACAGUAGUUGCAAAAUUCUAAAUAAUUAGACCAGAACAAAGUAAAAAUGAAAGGCUGUGCUAUUGGAGGUUAUAUAUUGAAUUGUUCCAAGUCGGGUUUUGAAUUUUUUUUUUUAACUAAUGACUCAGUUGAAGGAAAAGAAAAUAUCUAUUAAAUUUACAGACAUUAGAAAGCUGGCAGAAGUUAUAUAGGCACUAAAGGACAGGUUUUGACUUCUGUAUGAUCUUGAUAAAUUAGGUGUUUUAUAGAAAGACAGGUGAUAGUUCAAGAAGACAAGUGCUAAAUACUAAACUUUUAUAGCAAAGUGAUUGGUAAUGCAAAGACUGAAUAAGAACAACAGCAGUAUAAUUAAUCCCCUUGACAUCAGAUGAAGAUUAGUUGCAUAGGUUGUUGGAAGGGAAAAUGUCUUAUCACUGUUACUGCUUGUUCUAAAAAAAUGAUUGUUUUGCACUGGUCAUUGUAACAUAGAGUAACACUCAGCAGCAGACCCUCUCAGAGAGAACUGGGUUCUACUGUCUGCGCAGAAAGGCUGAGGUUACCUUAACUGGAGACUGGAAUCACUUAUGCAUGUUCUUGUGUUGAUAUCACAAGAAAUUUCCCUCCUUAUGAUUUCUUGCACUGCCACCGGUUAAGUUGUAAGGAGCUAAUUCUACUGCUGUCAAAGGAUUUCCU
rnacentral:lncRNA from 1 species